UUUCCGUAGGUGAACCUGCGGAAGGAUCAUUAUUGUAUAACCGAGGUGCGAGGGCUGUCGCUGACCCGAAAGGUCGUGCACGCCCGAGUGCCCUCACACACAUCCAUCUCACCCCUAUGUGCACCUCCGCGUGGGUCCCCCUUUGGCUUGUUCGGAGGGAGGCUUACGUUUUCACACAAACCCCCCUUUUAAAAGUGUAGAAUGACCACAUUUAUGCAAUCAAUACAACUUUCAACAACGGAUCUCUUGGCUCUC
rnacentral:misc_RNA from 1 species